rnacentral:rRNA from 1 species
AGUGAACGCUGGCGGUAGGCCUAACACAUGCAAGUCGAACGGCAGCACAGGAGAGCUUGCUCUCUGGGUGGCGAGUGGCGGACGGGUGAGGAAUACAUCGGAAUCUACCUUUUCGUGGGGGAUAACGUAGGGAAAAUUACGCUAAUACCGCAUACGACCUACGGGUGAAAGUGGGGGACCGCAAGGCCUCCCGCGAUUAGAUCAGCCGAUGUCCGAUUAGCUCGUUGGCGGGGUAAUGGCCCACCAAGGCGACGAUCGGUAGCUGGUCUGAGAGGAUGAUCAGCCACACUGGAACUGAGACACGGUCCAGACUCCUACGGGAGGCAGCAGUGGGGAAUAUUGGACGAUGGGCGCAAGCCUGAUCCAGCCAUACCGCGUGGGUGAAGAAGGCCUUCGGGUUGUAAAGCCCUUUUGUUGGGAAAGAAAUCCUGUCGAUUAAUACUCGGUGGGGAUGACGGUACUCAAAGAAUAAGCACCGGCUAACUUCGUGCCAGCAGCCGCAGUAA